ensembl:lncRNA
UUCAAUCAGAAUAAAGGCUUGUGAGUAUUCGACUGUGUGCACAUAAGUAAAUAUGGACUUUUAUCCCAGAAGACAACUCAGCUUUCUAGGUUGUUCUUCUAGACCGUACUUACUUCUCCCCUUUUCUGACAGAUUAUCAUGCUCAAGUUUACAUGGUUAGGGAAUAAUAUUAACUCAAAGUGUUUAGAACUUCACUGACAGGGACCUGUAAUGAAUACUGCUGCCAAAAUGCUCUAUCACUGAUUAAAAAAAAAACAAAAAAACAAAAAAAGAAACAAAAAAACCAUGAUCUAAAAAUCCCCCCACCAAAGAGCUUAUUUGGGGUACCAUCUAUAACUACCUAUCAUGUUGAUCUACUUAGUUGCACUUAGCAUCUUAAUUUCACACAUACUCAUUUUCUCUUGAAUGGGAAAAAUAUUUCUUGAAGAGUCAACUAUUUUCUCCAUCUUUUGAUAUGCCAACUAGUUUGUUCACUGUACUUUCCACCUGCAUGCACCAGUUAAAACAAGAAUGUAAUCAUAAUUCAUGUGGAAGAAACAAAAUAUGCUAACCUCCUCACAUAGUGCUCUCCAGUAGGACUUUCUGUGAUGACAGAUGCUAUAUAAUUUGCACUGUCGGAAACAGAAGCUACUAGCUGUAUCCAGCUAUUGGGCACCUGAAGUGUGGCUAGUGGGACUGAGGAAGUGGAGUUUUCAUUUUAGUUAACUGAAACAGCCACAUGCAGCAAAUGACUACUGUUUUAGUGUAAUUCUGAUAUCAUCAACACUGCUAAGACUAUGCAUUUACUGAAAUUAAAAGAAUGAGUAAAUAACAUUCAAGAUAAAAUGCCAUGGAUUUUAGCAGUACAUGCUUCUCAUACUUGGGGUUCAUAUCUCUGUGAAAUAAAAACAAAUAUUUGAAAAGAAUAUUUCCCAGGAGUCAGAAGAUAUGUGUUUUCACUUAUAUUUCUAACUAAUUGUAUGGCAUUGGGAAAAUUGCUUUAUUUCUCAGAGACUUAAAAAUUUAGAACAUGUGAUCACCCACUUUGAAAUUAUUUGAUUCUAUAAUAGUCUCAUACUAUUCAUAUCCUUAACUACCUUAAGGAUACGUUUGAGAAUCAAUUCAGGAAAAAAAAAAUAUAAAAGACUACAUCUCAAGAGUAGAUCAUGAAAAAGGAAUGGAAGAAAUAUAUUCAGCAAUCAAAGUAAGGUUUCUUUCUGAAAUGUUUGGGUUCACAUGAUUUGACAUGGAAUUGUAAUUCCAGAAUUUGAAGCCAAGUAUGAGUAGUAGGACUCAUUAAGCCUAACAUUCUUAUUUUAAAGAUGAAGAAACUGGGGCUUAGAGUUCUCUUGUGGAGCAGUGGGUUAAGGAUCCAGCAUUGUCACUGCAGUGGCUCAGGUUGCUGCUGUGGGGCAGGUUCAAUCCCUGGUCCACUGGACUUUCACAUGCCAUGGGUGUGGCAAAAAAAGAAGGAAGGAAAUAAUUAACGGAGUGAGGAGAAGAACUCGGGUCUUCAAAUUUUAUUCAAAUUUUGAAUCUUUUUUUUUCAUUAUCUUCUCAUUCUUUUUUUUUUAUCUCUGAGUUUAAUCUUAUUAUUUAUCUUUUUCCAAAGACUCACUUAAAACACAAGCUUUGAGGGAGCUUUUGGGGAUGAUGGAAUUGCUCUGUGUCAUGAUUGUACUGAUACUUAACAUAAGUCUAUACAUGUAUUAAAAUGCAUGGAACUGCAUACACAAAGAGUAAAUUAAAAACACCUAAAAAAUAACCUUCAAUGUUAUUAAAGAUAAUUUUUUCUUAAUCUAGUGUAUCUCAAUUUUUCAUACUACACUUUCUUAUUUGUUUUAAAUGGAAACAAAGAAUAAAAUCAGGACAUUUUAACCCCUUUGUCCAUUCUUCACUGAUUCCACUGUAUUUGAUGCCUACUAUUUUACUGUAUACAACUUCUCUAUCAUCCAAUAUAAAUGUAAAAGAAGAAAAUAAGAUUAAAAUGUAAAUCCUUCUUCCAAAUCUGCCAAAGAGAGAAAGAGAGGACUUUUUUUGUGUGAGAAACUAGCCAGUAGAGAGGUAAACUAUACAGUUCUACUAAAAAUUUAGAAAACUAUAUCUGUUUAGGUCAGUUCUAAAUAGUUCAUAGUAAAAUAGAUGAUUACAACUCCUUGUCAGUUAUGCAGUCCCUGUGCACUAGACACUAGGCUAUACAGGAGUCAAUGUUAUCUAGUCCAGAACAAUCACUCAAGAGAAAAAGAAAUAUUUUAAUGGCAAUCAUCCACAUUUAAUACAAACAUACGGGAUAAAUCCAGAAGAUCACAGCAGAGUGGAAGGAACAUGAUCAUUAGUCACAUGAUGGGAUUCAAAUUGCAACUUCAUGUUCUUUCAUAUUCUGAGCUAUUUGACAUUUUUUAAAAUACAUCUUGGAGUCUCAGUUUCCUCACUGAAAAAUGGAAAAACCCUCCCUUCCUCAAUAGACAACUGUGUGGAUAAAAUAUUAUGAUGCACAAAAUACUAGAAGUUAACAUUUAUUUAUAUUUGCCAUGUAGAAGACACUACUCUAAGGGCUUUAAGUAGUAUAAUUUAUUUGUCUGCAGAAAACAUCUAGAGACAACUGCUGUUAUUUUUAAUCAUAUACACAUAGUAAAAUAGACACAGAGGUUAAAUAAGUAACCUACCGACAAUCACAUAGUUGUGUUGGAAACUGCGCUUUGGACCCAAACGUUCUGAUUCCAAAGUUCUCUUGCUUAAACAACUUCAUAAUCAUUGCUUCCUAUAUAAAUGACUUGGCACAGGGUAGACACUCAACUCAUGGUUAUUGCUGUAACUGCAGCUUUUUAUUUUCAUGGUAAACUAACCUCCCUGAACUCCCAGAAGCUCAAACUGGGACAGGGCUACAAAUGCUAGUGAAAUAAAUAAAACCAUUGUGCUAACACUAUGAUCCUUUUCAUUACAUUUUCCCUUCACCAAUGCAGCAAAGUCAGAGAUUUCUUUUUAAUGCUGAUGUUAAACAAAAAUGAAGGUUCACAUUUUUUUUUUUCAAGUUCCCAGUCCUUAAAUCUCUCUCCUGAGCUCUGCAUGCAGAUGCCCAACUGCCCCAAACAUCCCCAUGUGUCUGGCAUACUUGUUCACAGUGAACUGUGGUAGACAAAGGGACGGCACAUAAAGUGGAGGGAAAAAAAUGGAUGUUUUCUUCAUCAGUCCUGAUGAAUGAAUUGCCUUACUUUGAGAAGAGAGCCCCUGAGACUGCAUGAGUGGAGAAGCAGAAAGAACUUGUCAGGGAAACUUCCUAGACCAAGAGGUAAGGAUGGGCAAGGGAACUUGGAAGAAAAACAUCAGUGAAGGUCAGUUUGAAAAAAGACAAAACAGACUGGCCCAGCAGAUCACGGUCUCUGUACAAAAAAUAAGUCCCUAUGGGAGAUGCACAUCUCAGACCCUUAUAUUUUUAAUAAAAAAUGUUUGUGUCCAGACCAGAGGAAUUGCCUUUUGCCAAGAGGUUUGCUUUGGCCCCUGAGACUCCUCUGUAGGCUCCCAAUGCCCGCUUACCCCAGACACGUGUCCACUUCUGACGGCUAGAGGCCACCUACGGGAUCUGCCUGCAUAGGAUGCUCCAAAGCAGAGUCGGCUUCACUUCUCCCUCCGAUUCCCUGUCCAAGGUCUCCCGCAGGCUCAUGGUGUCUGUAUCUCCUGCAUCUUCUCUAUUUUGGCUGCAGCUGCUCUGAUUUCAGUCGAUUGGCAUUGUCUAUUUCCAGGACUAUCUGGUUGCCCUCGAAAAGUCGGGGUAAUGGGGGUGGUAAAUGCAGAGUGUAUCACUGUUAUUCCCCCCUCCUUUGCUUAUUUAUGAGGCUCUUUCCAUUGUGGUGAAUCCUCAGCACUACAGUCUAGGAAGCCCCUGUGAUUGGAAUUGGCACACAAGAUGACACUGAUUGGCUGUAUCUUCUUACCUUUCUAAUCUAUUUUCAUUCAUACUCUGCCAGAGUCACUCUCUUAAAACAGGGACCCACAGUGGUGACAGAAUCCUAGGGUUGGCCUCCAAUAGUUCCAUCACUGGUACACAUACCUUAUUAUUUCCUUCCUUUUGAAUGUGCGUAAAACUAUGCCUAUGAUGGACUAUCAUCUCCAUGAUUAAGUUAACAAUCAGUUGGCUUUGAAUCAUUCAAAAGGGAGGGACCUAACCAGGUAAAUCCUUUAGAGGGACAUGACCCAUCUCUAAGUCAGAGAGAUCUGACAUGCAGGGAUUUUCUGAUGCUGGCUGGAAGCAUAAAGAAAGCCAUGUGGCAAGGACUUGAGGGCCCCCUCUAAGAACUGAGAUCAACCCCCAGCCAACAGUAAGCAAGAAGGUAGGGCCCUCAGUUUUACAGCCACAAAUAACCAGAUUCAGAUAAUUAUGUAAGCUCCGAAGAGGACCCUGAGCUCGAAGGAGGAUUUCAGCCCAACUUACACCUUGACUUUGUGAGACCCUGAGCAGAGAACCCAGUUAUACCUUGCCCAGACUUCUGCCCUAAAGAACCAUGAAAAAAUAACUGGACAUUGUGGUAAGCCCCUGAGUUUGUAGGAAAUUUUCACACAUAAUUUUAAAAAUAAAUAAUAAUACAUCCAUCCUUUUCCCAUUUGGAAAAUCUAUCUCCCCCAAAUG